rnacentral:rRNA from 1 species
UACGGGCAGACUAGAGUGCGGUAGGGGUGACUGGAAUUCCUGGUGUAGCGGUGGAAUGCGCAGAUAUCAGGAGGAACACCGAUGGCGAAGGCAGGUCACUGGGCCGCAACUGACGCUGAGGAGCGAAAGCAUGGGGAGCGAACAGGAUUAGAUACCCUGGUAGUCCAUGCCGUAAACGUUGGGCACUAGGUGUGGGGCUCAUUCCACGAGUUCCGUGCCGCAGCAAACGCAUUAAGUGCCCCGCCUGGGGAGUACGGCCGCAAGGCUAAAACUCAAAGAAAUUGACGGGGGCCCGCACAAGCGGCGGAGCAUGCGGAUUAAUUCGAUGCAACGCGAAGAACCUUACCAAGGCUUGACAUACACCGGAAAAGCGCAGAGAUGUGCUCCCCUUUUGGUCGGUGUACAGGUGGUGCAUGGUUGUCGUCAGCUCGUGUCGUGAGAUGUUGGGUUAAGUCCCGCAACGAGCGCAACCCUCGUCCCAUGUUGCCAGCGGGUUAUGCCGGGGACUCAUGGGAGACUGCCGGGGUCAACUCGGAGGAAGGUGGGGAUGACGUCAAAUCAUCAUGCCCCUUAUGUCUUGGGCUUCACGCAUGCUACAAUGGCCGGUACAAAGGGCUGCGAUACCGCAAGGUGGAGCGAAUCCCAAAAAGCCGGUCUCAGUUCGGAUUGGGGUCUGCAACUCGACCCCAUGAAGUCGGAGU